AUACGGAGGGGGUUGGCGUUGUUCGGAAUUACUGGGCGUAAAGCGUACGUAGGCGGAUUGGUAAGUUAGAGGUGAAAUCCCGGGGCUCAACCCCGGAACUGCCUUUAAUACUGCCAGUCUUGAGUUCGAGAGAGGUGAGUGGAAUUCCGGGUGUAGAGGUGAAAUUCGUAGAUAUUCGGAGGAACACCAGUGGCGAAGGCGGCUCACUGGCUCGAUACUGACGCUGAGGUACGAAAGUGUGGGGAGCAAACAGGAUUAGAAACCCCAGUAGUCC
rnacentral:rRNA from 1 species